rnacentral:rRNA from 1 species
AACGAACGCUGGCGGCAUGCCUAACACAUGCAAGUCGAACGAGACCUUCGGGUCUAGUGGCGCACGGGUGCGUAACGCGUGGGAAUCUGCCCUUGGGUUCGGAAUAACAGUUGGAAACGACUGCUAAUACCGGAUGAUGACGUAAGUCCAAAGAUUUAUCGCCCAAGGAUGAGCCCGCGUAGGAUUAGCUAGUUGGUGAGGUAAAGGCUCACCAAGGCGACGAUCCUUAGCUGGUCUGAGAGGAUGAUCAGCCACACUGGGACUGAGACACGGCCCAGACUCCUACGGGAGGCAGCAGUGGGGAAUAUUGGACAAUGGGCGAAAGCCUGAUCCAGCAAUGCCGCGUGAGUGAUGAAGGCCUGAGGGUUGUAAAGCUCUUUUACCCGGGAUGAUAAUGACAGUACCGGGAGAAUAAGCUCCGGCUAACUCCGUG